UAGCCCAAAGGUCCAAAGUCCUUCCA
rnacentral:misc_RNA from 1 species